AGAGAACUAUGGAUCGGAUUUUUCGUCACUGAGAUAUAGAAAAGGAGAAGCAACACCCUCGGCAAUAGAAGAACCAUCUCAUAAAGAGAAAGUUGUGGAUGCAAGUCCAACCAUUUGCACGUACAACAUUUUUGAAGGUAUUGAAUACUGGAACAUAAGAUGUCAAGCAGCAUAAUGGAUUAGUGUUUGCGUGAUAAAACAGUUGUGACUGUUUUUUUUCUUUUCUUUUGGAUUGACAAUCAGUGUAUUGGCUACCAGGCUAAGGCAUUACCUGACAGUUCCCACUCUCAAUUAGCGCUACAGUACCUAGAUUAACAUUGUCAUGUAAUAAUAUCAUCAUGAAGACAACACGAAGGAUGCUAUGCUGCAUAUUUCAAUUGUAUGCAUUUUUCCCUUUUAUUUUUGUUAUUGUCAGUAGGGAGCAGUUGUAUGUAAUUAAGAUCUGUAUAAGUAUUUGUUGUUCUCACUUUCAAAUUGAGAUAUGAAUUCAAUUGUGGGUUUGAAACA